GACAGACAGACAGACAGACAGACAUACAGUCAGACAUACAGUCAGACAGACAGACAGACAGACAGACAGACCAACAUACAGUCAGACAGACAGACAGACAGACCAACAUACAGUCAGACAGACCAACAUACAGAGUCAGACAGACAGACAGACAGACAGACAGACAGACAGACAGACAGACAGACAGACAGACAGACAGACAGACAGACAGACAGACAGACAGACAGACACAUGGGAGGUUGAGGGAGAAACAGGAAGAGAAAGAGAAACAACGUUAGACAAACACAGAUGCAGGGAAAUGCAGGGAGACUAAAUUAGUGACGAUGUGAUCAACAAAUGCAAAAAGGAUAUGAUGAAAGACACAUUAUCACAAUGAAGUCCUUUUACCUUCUGGUUGCUGCCAGCAGAAAGGAACGGUUUGGUCUCGCUGGUAGGGGAGUCCAAAAUAUCCAGAAUGCUGUGUUCUAAAGGUUCUGGUCUGCUGCAACAGGUGGAAUGACAAAGCAAAGCAAUGCAACCCAUCACUUUUCCUAUUCGUCAACUGCAAGUGUAUCAAGCUUUAAAUCCAGUGUCAAAUGACCAGCGAGAAAUAAACUACAUCUAAUGUGGAUAAAGCCAGACGAGCAAUAUUAACCCCAUCUUGGCCGCAGGGACACGCACUGAUGGAUAACAAACCCCCAUGACCCUGCCCUGACAUGCAGUACAUGUAUGGACACAGAGACAGAGGGGUCGCUGGGUAUCGAUCACCAUGCUCUAAGAAACACAGAUAGUGGUCUCACUGACUUGGUGUGUGUAAAGAUAGGAAUGGUAAAUAAAUAAAUAAACGCAUGAGCGAUUGCCUCUUUA